GAUGAAGAACGUAGCGAAAUGCGAUAAGUAAUGCGAAUUGCAGAAUUCCAGUGAGUCAUCGAAUCUUUGAACGCACCUUGCGCCCCUUGGUUAUUCCAAAGGGCAUGCCUGUUUGAGUAUCAUGAACACCUCAACUCUUGUGGUUUCCCACAAUGAGCUUGGACUGUGGAGGUUUUGUUGGCCCUGUGGUCAGCUCCUCUCAAAUGGAUCAGCUUACCGGUGUUUGGUGGCAUUACGGGUGUGAUAACUAUCUACGCUCGUGGUCGUCUCCAAAUAACCUCCAGUGAUGGAGGUUCGCUGGAGCUUAUAAAUGUCUCUCCCCAGUGAAGACAGCCUUUGAACGUUCGAUCUCAAAUCAGGUAGGACUACCCGCUGAACUUAAGCAUAUCAAUAAGCGGAGGA
rnacentral:misc_RNA from 1 species